AAUCUUGCGCAAUGGACGAAAGUCUGACGGAGCAACGCCGCGUGAGUGAUGAAGGUUUNCGGAUCNUNAAACUCUGUUGUUAGGGNCGAACAAGUAUCGGAGUCACUGCCGGUACCUUGACUGUACCUGACGAUAAAGUCACGGCUAACUACGUGCCAGCAGCCGCGGUCAUACGUAGGUGGCAAGCGUUGUCCGGAUUUAUUGGGCGUAAAGCGCGCGCAGGCGGUCUUUUAAGUCUGAUGUUAACUCUUCCGGCUUAACUGGACGCGGUCAUAGGCAACUGGGGGACUUGAAUGCAGAAGAGGAGAGUGGAAUUCCACGUGUAGCGGUGAAAUGCGUAGAGAUAUGGAGGAACACCAGUGGCGAAGGCGACUCUCUGGUCUGUAACUGACGCUGAGGCGCGAAAGCGUGGGGAUCAAACA
rnacentral:rRNA from 1 species